rnacentral:rRNA from 1 species
GUUGGUGGGGUAACGGCUCACCAAGGCGACGAUCCCUAGCUGGUCUGAGAGGAUGACCAGCCACACUGGAACUGAGACACGGUCCAGACUCCUACGGGAGGCAGCAGUGGGGAAUAUUGCACAAUGGGCGCAAGCCUGAUGCAGCCAUGCCGCGUGUAUGAAGAAGGCCUUCGGGUUGUAAAGUACUUUCAGCGGGGAGGAAGGGAGUAAAGUUAAUACCUUUGCUCAUUGACGUUACCCGCAGAAGAAGCACCGGCUAACUCCGUGCCAGCAGCCGCGGUAAUACGGAGGGUGCAAGCGUUAAUCGGAAUUACUGGGCGUAAAGCGCACGCAGGCGGUUUGUUAAGUCAGAUGUGAAAUCCCCGGGCUCAACCUGGGAACUGCAUCUGAUACUGGCAAG